UCCUGAGCGCCUCCUCUCCCUAUCUCUCUCUCUCGUUCCCCUCCCCUCCCACGCGCCUCCUCUCCCGCUCGCCCUCGCGCCGCCGCCUCCGCUCGCGCUCGGAAGGGUGACGAUGAUUUAGAUCGGAAGGGUAGCUUAUCUUCCUCAAGAUUUGUCUGUAGGUGUUCGACAAAACUCCUAUAGACUGCCGGGAAGAUUAUAUAUCCACACAUCUAUCACCAGCUGGUCCAUAUAGAGGAGGAGAUAAGGUACAUAUCAAGACACCUUUCUCCGUGACUUCCGUUGUUGAUGGUCAUGAUUCUGUUUAGUUACAGGGCGUGGGGUGCUCUUCUUGGAAGACGGUUAGCGGAGCGUGGAAUUAUAGUCGCUUGCAUUGAUUAUAGAAAUUUGCCCCAAGGAGCAAUAAGUGACAUGGUCAGUGAUGCUUUUGAGGCAUUUUCAUUUAUUUGUGAUACUAUUGCUAGCUAUGGAGGAGAUCCUAAUCAGAACUAUGCGCCGCACUUGAAUAUUUGAUCCUUUUGGGCGGUGAUUCUAUCCAAAGUCGUCGUUGUGACGUCGGUGAGCAACCUCGGGCACCACACUGAGUGCUACCGCCUCCCCACCACUCAUGACGCCAGGCUGUUCUACUUCUUCGAAUUCAGGUGGCACAAGGAGGACCCAGUGGUGAUCUGGCUGAUGGGAAGGCCCGGCUACUGCAGCGAGCUAGCCCUCUUCUACGAGAACGGCGCCUUCCACAUAGCAGACAACAUGUCGCUACUCUAGAAUGAGUUUGGUUGGGAUCAGGAGUCGAAUCUUAUCUAUGUUGAUCAGCAAACUGAGACUGGGUUCAGCUACAUGUCUGAUUCUGAUUAUUCACUAUAUGUAGUUUUGCAAUUGAUGCGAUUAGGAUAUUACUGGGGGAUUUUAUCUAGGUUCCAGGGUGUUGAAAAUUAAAAAGAAUGUAACUAAAAUUUUACUAAAUUUAAAGCUGCAUGUAAGAUUUAUGGUUUAAAAAGAACAUACUUCCAAGUUCCAGAUCAGUUUGCGGUGUGUGUGUGCGCGCGCUUAAAAGGUAUAAUUCAGUUUAAUGGAUGCUAUGCAUCAUGAGAGUACUUGAUCUUUGUAUAUGUAUUAUAGUUUGCCAUCUGGUGUCAAUCUAAUUUCUUAACACGAAAAUGAGCAAUUGUGAUGCACCUCUUCUUUCCUAAUAAUAGUUUGCUUCUGACUAGCGACUGGUGGCGCUGGGUGCGCUUGCUUACUUUGUCGCGCAACUUCUUUGAUCACCGCGUAGAACCUGACCUGGGUGUUGCAGCUCUGUCCGUGGUGGUCUCAUGGAUGUAGUGGUGACACCUCUCCUAGUAUACAUGUCCAAAAUCAUUAUUUUGUGGGAAUUCUCGCAGACUUUGCCUUUGUUCCGGGAGGCGUGCAACGACGGCAUGAAGAACAACAUCGAGACCAUACGUUCGGUUUCUCUGUGCCCGCUCUGCUGCCAUCCACACCCGCACUAUCCCAGCUCGUGUGCCGGCUCGAGGAGAAGCUCAGGCCGCCACCACACAAAGGGAGAGGAACCCAAGAAGAAUCUAUCCCGCCUUACUGUCCAUGACCCGACGACAGAGACAGCUACUUCGAGCCUAGGCUCGUCGGCGGGGCAGUGCAAGGCGUAACUCCGACGUGGUUCCUCGCUGGUUGGACGGUGUUCAGGCGCAACCCGGUGCCCACUGAGUACUGCCUCGGCUACAACCUCCCUUGGCUUGAGUCUCAGUUUGAUCUUACGGUUCUACGGCUCAAAGGUUGAUGACUGCCAUGAGGCACUACCCAGUUAAAUCUUCGUAAGUUGUUGAGCAUGAACUUUUCUUCUUAAUUAUUUUCAUCUUCUUAGCCUUGCCACAUCAUCUCUUAAAAAUAGUUUGAAUCCAUCAACUGUGUGCUCUGCCUAUGCAAUUCAUUGAACCGUAAGAUUAAAACCUUCAUAAGGUGUAGCCUUGUCUCCAACUACCUUCUGAAUAUUAACAUUUUUGUUGGAAAAAGAAAAAAGAUUGAAUCAUAGUUUGCACUAAAUGAAAAUGAGUUUUUUUUACAUUUUGUUCACUCACUAGGAGGGUCACUAUUUAUAUGCUUGCUUCAACUUUUUCCGGAUCACCAUGUAAAUCAUUUGUACAGGAGCUCUGGAACAAGAAAAACAAUAAUCACAAGGAUGAAGGCUUAACAUGUAUUUUGUUUGCCAUCUGGUGUUUAUCUAAUUUUUUGAUGGUGUGACCAAAACCAGAUUACCUUUUCUAAUGUUAGUAUUGGAGUGCUAUCUGCAAUGGCAUCUACUAUAUAUACUGAAAGUAGUUUUAUUUAUCUUUAGAACUUGAUAUAUUUUCUAAAACCACAUAUUAUGCUUCUAUUUGUAUCUAUGACUUCUGAAGCAAGUCAACACCCACACAGGCAAACAAACCAAACUGACGGUAGAGUCACUGCAUAUAAGGAAAUUUACUUUGCUUCCAGUAGUGGGUUUAGGCUUGAUAGAAGCUUCGUUGUUUAUAUUUUCAGAAAACUGGAUCUAUCAUGAUUAAGAUAUGGUCAACAUGUAUUGUAUGCACUCACGGAGGCAAUUGAGCCAAGCUAUCUAUUGUAUGCCUAACUAUGGCUUCGUAGUUUUAUUGCCUCCAUUGCCAUUGUUGGCCUUUUCUUUCUUAUGUUUCUGCUCAUAUUACUGAACUUAAUGUUAACUAAUUAGUUUUUCUAUUCGUAUGACCGUAGUGGAUGCUGCCUUGCUUCUGGCACGGGUUAACUUUGAUAGUCUCAUGCCCAUGUUUAACUUGAUGAUCGAUGUUACUCUUCUGGUACAUAUUGAAUGUUUCUUCUUACUCUUGAA